AUGGCAGAGAUCAGGGAGGAGACCGCGAGGGCCGGGGAGGGUGAGAGGCUGAAGAUGCUGCACGAGGAGGCGGCUCACCCGAGGAGCAACUCCGGCAUGGACCCGGGGGACCCGAGGAGGAAGGCAAUCGAAGCGGAGGAGAUGAGAGACAGGACGGCGGUGGAAGCAGGCGAGGAGGACUACGAGGCCGACAUGGCUGCCAAGUUCCGCCAUCGCUGGGAGGAGCGAUGGUCCGGCUAUUUCGGCUCCUUUGAGGACACCACACUUAUUCCACCGAUGCGCUUCACGGAUGAACCACCUGGGCCACGAGACUUCGCGUGCUCCUACAUGCAUACUCUCAACGUCUUCUCGGUCAAACUUGCUGGACUACAUAGGGAUUUGGCAUGGCCACUCCAUGUGUUCAGCAUCGUCGCCGCACGCGACACUCUGGAUCACAAUCGCAAUAUCAUCUUGCAUCGCACCAGGGAUAACCGCCAAAUCAUCCAUCAGGAGGAUCCCUACCUAGAAUUGACAGGUCCUAUCCGUGGUAUCGUGGUGAUUGAUCCUGUGAAAUUUGAGGUUGUGCUGAAAGUGAAGGGCUCCACUGAAUCCGAGGACAAAGAUUUAAGCUUUCUGGUUGUGCGGUACUUUAGUAACGGCGGUGAAAGUCGGUCACUUGUGAUCAACAAAAUCAGGACUAACAAGCUUAGCACACUAGAGUUGACAUUCGGCCACAUUGUUCGCUCUGUGGAGGCCGCGAUUAGUGUGAGAGUGAUUGGCGGUUCAUGGCCAGAUGGGUUUCGAGGUGUAUUUACAGCUACCACUGGCAGCAUAAAUCACAUGAAGUUCUCGUUGCUUUCUUCUAGAAACUGUAAGUUUCCUGUCAAGUCUGAUGGAAUGAUCUUGCUAUCACGAUGUGUUGUUUGUGUUGAACUCGAUGGAGAACUCAUGGUUUCCAUCAUGGCACAACAUGAAGACGAGGAGAAAGUUGUUGAUCAGAGUGAUGAUAACGUUUUUACACCUAAGAAAGCUGGUAGAAGCCAUAAUAUCCUCAAGAUUGGGUCGUGCAAGAUGGAAGUCACUGUGGCCUGCUCUGUUUUCUCGGAUCGUAUACUUGUUCGUGACGAAUGGGUUGGUGCUCGGCAUCUGUGA
rnacentral:rRNA from 1 species